UGAAAUACACCAUGGAUAGAUCACCAAAUCAUCUGGAGCAUUCAGCUGAACCGAGAAACGGACAGCGAUGCCCCGGAUCUCGAGUGGUCUUCAUGGUGCACAUGAAUCUACCCUCAAGCAAAAGGCACAGCUUAAAAAAGGAGGAACACAGGCCAUGCUGUUCACAUUACUGUAACAAUCAGAGCUUUCCUGGAGCAUGGAGCCAUUCCAGAGCGCCCUCUGCUGUCCCUCAGUGUGCACAGAAAACUGACGCUGAAGACUGUGAAGCGUUUACUUGCAGAUUCCCUCAGGACAAGGAGACCUCUCUGCGUCCUGCUCCAGAGCCGUGCGAGGCAGAAGGCCUGAAUCCAAAUGCUUGUGAAUCCGAGGAGCCCGUCGAGCUCCUGCAGCCGAGCUUCAGCCACAGAGCUGCUCGCAGAACAACCUGCCUAUUUCUCUCAGUUCUAAUUCUACUCUGCUGCCUCCUGUUUGUCCUGCAGUUGCAUUGUGUGCCAAGGUCCUGGCGCUUCCGGCAUUGUUUUGGUGCACCAUCAAACCUGUGGUAUGACGUCACACACAGCCGCCCAACCUAAAUAACCAGGAGCAUUUCUUCCAUGCUCUGCCACAGUGACAGCAAUAAACCCUGAAAAACGGA